rnacentral:lncRNA from 1 species
UAAUUAUUAGCUAAUUGGCUGGGAUGUAUCUCAUUUGUAACAAAUGAGGAGAGGAAGGCUCUGAGGCUGUGGCUGGUGGAGGCGGAGCUGUUUAACUCCUGGUUGAGCUGGCAUAAGAAGUUGCUAUCCUGGUCUCUGGGAGGGGGCUCUGUGGUGUGGUGAUGCCUUAUCGAGGUGUGUGUCCACAAGGAUUGGUGGGUGUCACCUGCAGGCUGUCACCCACCAGCCUUUCUUGCUCAUGGACCAGGCUUUUGGAGAUUGCCUGCCACGGUGCUUCAUGGGCUGAUGCCCUCAGCAAGACAGCAGUCAGAAGGCAGAAGAGCUGAGCUACCCCUUGAGAAGACAUUUCCCAUCACAGGUGUUCUGCCAGGUGAUCCUGCAUCUCUCAUUGCUGGAGGAGCUCCUGUGUCACUGCAGGCCUGGGUGAGGAUGAGGAUGACAUUCUUCCAGUGAAGGCAGUCCCCCUGUUCAGUGCUUGCUGCAGAACAAGUC